rnacentral:tRNA from 1 species
ACCCUGUUGGCUAAGCUGUAAAGAAUCUGCCUGCAAUGCAGGAGACCUGGGUUCGAUCCCUGGGUUGGGAA